AUAAUAAGCACUAUUGGUUCAAAUUAAUUCAAUAUAUAUUAUUAUAGUUAAGAUGGAUGUGUGUGCUUGUUUGUGCGGGCGUGGGCGCGGCAUUGCGCGCAUUUAGAGAAGGAGUUCUCGCGAUACGUUUCAUUCAAGAAAAAGCAACGCUGAUGAUCGCGUCGCUUAAACUUCUUGAUUAAUGUCAUCCUUUACAGGUCAGCGGUCACGCCUCUUUCUUUCACUCGGCACGGCGGCAGUCGCUGGAGCCUGCAGGACGCGUGACAGCUCAACAAUGGCCCUGCCAACUUUAUCCUCAGAUGAGCUGAUCCAAACAUGACAGAAGGUGGUGUAACUAUGACAGAAGUUGAAGCACAGAAAUUCAGAGGGUGAACACAACACACCAUACCCAAUUGUCCAGGUGACCCAAGAAGACUGGAAGUCCACAUUUGAGGGACGAAGCUCCUGUUCCCUGAAGGUAGAGAAAGCCAUGAUCUCCUCGUUUUAUUCAUAUUUUGUUUUCAAUCUUGAAUACCAACCCAAAAACAAGAACACUCUGACCUUCCUCCAGCGAUGCAUUGCGAAAAUGCCAUCCAAGAUAACCAUGUCUUUCUUUCCUCAGUGGGAGAGAAAUUGUUUUUUGAGGAAAACAUUUCUGGAUUUUUCUUCUAACAAUGGAGUUCAUUGGUUACCAUCGUUUUUAAGUCCAAAUCAAUGCAGUUUCAAAAGUCUUUGAAGUGUUUAAACGGGCUGUACGCGAUCACAGCUGAAGAAGAGGUUGUUUUCUA
ensembl:lncRNA